AACAUCGCGCACCUGCGGGAACCUGCGGAAGGAUCAUUAAUGAUUGGUGGCCGUUGCUGACUAGUGUUUCUAGUAUGUGCACGCCACACCUUCAAUCCCACUUACACCUGUGCACCUUCUGUAAUAGAUCUAUGUGGAUACGGAGAUAUGAAAGUUUGCGCUCUCGUACUCUGUUGAAGCAGUCUACUACGUUUUUUUACACACACACAAUAGUCAUUGAAUGUAUUUUUUAUUCUUAUG
rnacentral:misc_RNA from 1 species